CCUACGGGUGGCAGCAGUGGGGAAUAUUGCACAAUGGGGGAAACCCUGAUGCAGCAACGCCGCGUGAGUGAGGAAGUAUUUCUGUAUUUAAAGCUCUAUCAGCCGGGAAUCGAUAAGAAGGUCCCUUAAAAAGAAGCCCCGGCUAAAUACGUGCCAGAAGCAGUGGUACUACGUGGGGGGCAAGCGUUAUACGGAUUUACUGGGUGUAAAGGGAGCGUAGGCGGGAAGGCAAGUCAGAAGUGAAAACCCAAGGCUCAACCAUGGGACUGCUUUUGAAACUGUCAAACUAGAGUACGGGAGAGGUAAGGGGAAUUCCUAGUGUAGCGGUGAAAUGCGUAGAUAUUAGGAGGAACACCAGUGGCGAAGGCGUCUUACUGGACCGAAACUGACGUUGAGGCUCGAAAGCGUGGGGAGCAAACAGGAUUAGAUACCCUGGUAGUC
rnacentral:rRNA from 1 species